UUCACUGAUAUUUAUGUUUUGAAAACCAUGAAGAGUUUUAAUCUUAAAGUUUUCUUAUGUUCCUUCAGGCUCUUACAACUUAUAUGGAACUCCUUGACUUGAAACCACUUCCUGUGACUGCACUUGCAAAUGGAACUUAUGAAGAAUUGUACAGAUACAUACAUUUUAACCCCAUACAGACGAAGGCUUUUGAUGUGCUAUAUCACACGGACCAAAAUGGGGAGAAAAGAAGA